CCACUUCAGCAGAAAGGGGGACUGUCCUGCUGUGUGUUACUUAGGACGCUAGUUGAGCUCUGCUUUGAUUUUCAUUGCUCAGGUUUUUAAGGAGGAGAAGUACCUGAAGGACGCAGUGGAGUGCAGCGACGUGAUCUGGCAGCGAGGCCUGCUGCGGAAGGGCUACGGGAUCUGCCACGGGACCGCUGGGAACGGCUACUCCUUCCUUUCGCUUUACCACAUCACGCAGGAUAAAAAGUACCUCUACCGAGCUUGCAAGUUUGCCGAGUGGUGUCUAGAUUAUGGAGCACAUGGCUGCCGAAUUCCUGACAGACCCUAUUCUCUCUUUGAAGGCAUGGCUGGCACUGUUCACUUCCUCUCCGACAUCCUGGCCCCAGAGGCAUCACGGUUUCCAGCAUUUGAACUCAGCUCUUCACAGAGGGAUACAAAGGUUCAAAAAGACUACUAAGAAAGCUGACUGGACCAGAAGCCACCAGGUUGCUUAGCCCCUGACAGAACCAACUGGGAUUCCUGAAAGCGGGAGAAGCAGCAGCAGGCCUCGUCCUAGACGCCCGUGUCGGAGUGUGAUGGCCGGCCGCCCCAGCAGCAUCGUGCGACCGUGCCCCUCGCUGGCGCACAGUGUGAACCCUCCACGUCCAGUUCUCCGUCGUGUGUGCAUGUCUCCUGGUGUUUGCCGUCUGUAGGUGUAGGUUGUUGUAAACAGAAGCCCUUCCCUGUCCUUGAGCCCGAGCUGGCUGUGCAUGAGGGCGCACGGCACCCACUUCUCUGUACAUACUGUUUAAAGUGAGGCGUUUUCUGUAUUGGCAAACAAGGAAAUAGGCAGGUGGUGUCUCUUACAUAACAGAAUUCUCCACAGUGAUGUCCCGGUGGUAAAACUUUGCAGCAUUUUCUGUGUGUGCCUUGCGGAUGAGCGUGAGAGAAAGACCACUCCAAAAUGAAAACAAUAAAGCAGCGUUGCUGAAGUAGGGGGUGGAGAGCCUGUCCACAGAGUCGAAUGUCCCCUCUUUGUGUGCUGUGCCCCCAGUGUUUAUAAGAAGGAGAGGGGGCGCGUUCCAGCAUUGUCCCCUGCUGGGACUCCCUUCCUCAGGCUUGCUGUGUGACGUUCUAGCCCCUCCUCACAACCCAUGGCAGCCUGGGCCCCGAGGAGCAGACCCGUGACACCAGGGCCAUUCGGGGGAGCCUUUUCAUGGCCACAUUGUAAAUCUAGUAGCAGUGACUGAGGGCUGCAAGUCUCGGUUCAGUGUAUGUUAUUAAAACAGACUGCACCGCAGUUUCAUCAGCAUUAUGACGUAGUGCUGUAAGUUCAGUGGAUACAAUCCCAGAUACGUUAUUCCCAUGUUCCUCCACUUAAACUUUUUUCACAACUUGGUAAGUUAUCAAAGUACAAAUUUGGGAUGAAUAUAGUCUUUAUUUUUGUCUGUUAUUCAGGUGAUAGAAAUCUCACAUUUGAUGAAAUGUAUUAAGCAUAAAGUACUAGUCUGUAUCUAUGCAUAUCGGAAACAGUUCUAACCAAGAAAAUUACACUGUCUGUCUGACGUUUUUGUUUUAAAACUGGGCAUUAACUUGGAUUAGCAUACCCUCAAUAAUUUGACCAUGUAGAUCUGUCUUUAGAAGAGCUUUGUUGUCAUGGUAUGAAUGGUCUGAGACUUUCUACAGACUUCUUACUUAUGGGCUAAGGCCUGAUCAUAGAAGACAAGGUAGAUCUCUGAUGAUCUGGUCCUUGUCUACAAGGGGUUGUCAAAUGUUUAUCAGCCCUGGUUUCCACUCCUUUCAUAAAGGAGGAAGAAGAAUGUCCAAGUAGAAGACAGGUUCCUUUGCACAUGUGCAGUUCUUGGGAUGCCAAGCCUUGUUUGUGGGGCUAACACCCUAACAUGUGCCCUUUCAUUUCUAAAUGAUGCCUCAUGCAUCUCUUCAUUUUCUGACACUCACUUCUGUGUCAUAACUGUUUUUUUAAGUUAGUUUGAUGACUUCCAUAGGUAUAAAUCCUCAUGAUUGUAUAUUCUAACCACUUCCUGGGUCUCCUCAUGUGCUUCCUAGGCAGCCCAGUUCCCCAGGACCCACAGGUGGGACUGGAGUGGGUUGGGCUAUUGUCAGAAAAGCUCAUUUGAUGUCAGCCCACAUACACCAUUCCCACCUCAGCCAGACCUCAGUGGCAGCCCUCCAGGCCUCAGCAUGGAGUUAUAUCCAGGCUGGCUUAUUUCCCAAGGGAGGCCAGAGUAGCUGCACGGGAAUCACCCCACUCGGCAAGAGGAAGCAGCUCGUGGAAACCCUGGUUCUGGCCACGUCUCCUGACCAGAAGCAGUGAGGGUGACGCUUGUUACCUGGGCAUCUUGCCUUGUGUGUUCAACUUGCUUCUGCCUAACACACUGAGGAAAGAGAGAGCACUUGUAAGAUGAAUGGAGGAUCUGUUAUUUACAGGGCUUGUUUAGAAGCCUGUUUACCUGCUAGAUGUGUUAACACAGCUCAGUCUGUGACUCCUAGUGGUGACACAGGCUCCAUCCAGUUCCCCGAAGGAAAAAGACACCCACAGCUGAUGUAGUGGUUCUGAUAGUGUGUGAAUUUGGAUUUCAGAGCAUUUCAGUGAUUUCUCAGAUUUGUUUGUUUUCUCCAAAAUGUGUCUAAGCUUUUAAAAUAAUGUGUAUGCACAAUUCCAUUUCAAAAUUUGAAAGAGAAAAGGUUGAUGUCCACAAAAAGUGUGUGGGGUGCUCUAGUUCAGUUCUUAGUAAACACAGUUCUGUUGUGACA